CACAGCCACGGGAAUACGAAGGGGGCUAGCGUUGCUCGGAAUGACUGGGCGUAAAGGGCGCGUAGGCGGCGGCCAAAGUCAGGCGUGAAAUUCCCGGGCUCAACCUGGGGGCUGCGUUUGAUACUUGGUUGCUUGAGUGGGGAAGAGGGUCGUGGAAUUCCCAGUGUAGAGGUGAAAUUCGUAGAUAUUGGGAAGAACACCGGUGGCGAAGGCGGCGACCUGGUCCUUUACUGACGCUGAGGCGCGAAAGCGUGGGGAGCAAACAGGAUUAGAUACCCCCGUAGUCCCUGUCUCUUAUACC
rnacentral:rRNA from 1 species